rnacentral:rRNA from 2 species
UGCAGUCGCACGGGGGCUUCGGAUCUAGUGGCGGACGGGUGAGUAACGCGUAGGAACGUGUCCUGGGAUGGGGGAUAACGCUGGGAAACUGGCGCUAAUACCGCAUGUCUGCUGAGGCAGAAAGCCUUUGGGUGUCUUGGGAGCGGCCUGCGUCCGAUUAGCUAGUUGGUGGGGUAAAGGCUUACCAAGGCGACGAUCGGUAGCUGGUCUGAGAGGACGAUCAGCCACACUGGGACUGAGACACGGCCCAGACUCCUACGGGAGGCAGCAGUGGGGAAUAUUGGACAAUGGGCGGAAGCCUGAUCCAGCAAUUCCGCGUGGGUGAAGAAGGUCUUCGGAUUGUAAAGCCCUUUCGGCGGGGACGAUGAUGACGGUACCCGCAGAAGAAGCCCCGGCUAACUUCGUGCCAGCAGCCGCGGUAAUACGAAGGGGGCUAGCGUUGCUCGGAAUUACUGGGCGUAAAGGGCGCGUAGGCGGCGCAGUUAGUCAGGCGUGAAAUUCCUGGGCUUAACCUGGGGACUGCGCUUGAUACGGCUGUGCUAGAGGGUGGAAGAGGCUCGCGGAAUUCCCAGUGUAGAGGUGAAAUUCGUAGAUAUUGGGAAGAACACCGGUGGCGAAGGCGGCGAGCUGGUCCAUUACUGACGCUGAGGCGCGACAGCGUGAGGAGCAAACAGGAUUAGAUACCCUGGUAGUCCACGCCGUAAACGAUGUGCGCUGGAUGUUGGGUGGCCUAGCCACUCAGUGUCGUAGCCAACGCGGUAAGCGCACCGCCUGGG